rnacentral:rRNA from 1 species
CCUACGGGCGGCAGCAGUAGGGAAUAUUGCUCAAUGGUGGAAACCCUGAAGCAGCAACGCCGCGUGGAGGAUGAAGGUUCUCGGAUUGUAAACCCCCUUUGUUAGAGAAGAUAAUGACGGUAUCUAACGAAUAAGCACCGUCUAACUCCGUGCCAGCAGCUGAGGUAAUACGGAGGGUGCAGGCGUUAUUCGGAAUCACUGGGCGUAAAGAGCGCGUAGGCGGGAUAGCAAGUCAGAUGUGAAAUGCUAUGGCUUAACCAUAGAACUGCAUUUGAAACUGUUAUUCUAGAGUAUGGGAGAGGUAGGUGGAAUUCUUGGUGUAGGGGUAAAAUCCGUAGAGAUCAAGAAGAAUACUGAUUGCGAAGGCGACCUGCUAGAGCAUAACUGACGCUGAUGCGCGAAGGCGUGGGGAGCGAACAGGAUUAGAUACCCCUGUAGUC